UACGUAGGGGGCAAGCGUUGUCCGGAUUUAUUGGGCGUAAAGAGCGUGUAGGCGGCCAUACAGGUCAGCUGUGAAAACUCGAGGCUCAACCUCGAGACGUCGGUUGAAACCGUUUGGCUAGAGUCCGGAAGAGGAGAGUGGAAUUCCUGGUGUAGCGGUGAAAUGCGCAGAUAUCAGGAGGAACACCGGUGGCGAAGGCGGUUCUCUGGGCCUGUACUGACGCUGGAGGAGCGAAAGCGUGGGGAGCGAACAGG
rnacentral:rRNA from 1 species